GUAAUCACUUGUUCUUUAAUUGAGGACUAGUAUGAAUGGCCCCACGAGGACUACACUGUCUCCUUUCUCUAAUCAAUGAAACUGAUCUCCCCGUGAAGAAGCGGGGAUAAACCUAUAAGACGAGAAGACCCUAUGGAGCUUUAAACAACAGGAAUAUUUGCUUCUUUCCUAGCAUUUUCUGAAUAUUAAAUUAAAUCAAGCAUUUUAUUUCCCAGUUUUAGGUUGGGGUGACCACGGAGAAAAAAUAAACCUCCAUGUUGAAAGAAGCCUCCUACCUUCUAAGCAAAAAGACACAACUUUAUGCAUCAACACAUUGACUUCCAUUGACCCAAUAAUUUGAUCAACGAACCAAGUUACCCUAGGGAUAACAGCGCAAUCUACU
rnacentral:rRNA from 1 species